rnacentral:rRNA from 1 species
UACGUAGGGGGCAAGCGUUUGUCCGGAUUUAUUGGGCGUAAAGAGCGUGUAGGCGGUUCGGUAAGUCCGCUGUGAAAGUCGGGGGCUCAACCCUCGGAUGCCGGUGGAUACUGUCGGACUAGAGUACGGAAGAGGCGAGUGGAAUUCCUGGUGUAGCGGUGAAAUGCGCAGAUAUCAGGAGGAACACCGAUUGCGAAGGCAGCUCGCUGGGACGUUACUGACGCUGAGACGCGAAAGCGUGGGGAGCAAACAGG